rnacentral:rRNA from 1 species
GACGUAGGGCGCGAGCGUUGUCCGGAUUUAUUGGGCGUAAAGAGCGUGUAGGCGGCCAUACAGGUCAGCUGUGAAAACUCGAGGCUCAACCUCGAGACGUCGGUUGAAACCGUUUGGCUAGAGUCCGGAAGAGGAGAGUGGAAUUCCCGGUGUAGCGGUGAAAUGCGCAGAUAUCGGGAAGAACACCCGUGGCGAAGGCGGCUCUCUGGGACGGUACUGACGCUGAGACGCGAAAGCGUGGGGAGCGAACAGG